rnacentral:rRNA from 1 species
GACGUAGGAGGCGAGCGUUGUCCGGAUUCAUUGGGCGUAAAGAGCACGCAGGCGGUUUGGCAAGUCGGACGUGAAAAUCCGGGGCUCAACCCCGGACCUGCAUCCGAAAACUGCCCGACUAGAGGUAGGUAGGGGAGAUCGGAAUUUCCGGUGUAGCGGUGAAAUGCGUAGAUAUCGGAAGGAACAUCAGUGGCGAAAGCGACUUCCUGGACCAAUACUGACGCUCAUGUGCGAAAGCGUGGGGAGCAAACAGG